CUCACCUCGACUGCUAAAUUCGUACGGGUCAAUUUCACCUAGCUCCGGUCUCUCUCUCUAGAAAUGGAGGACAGUCCGGUGAGGGUGGUUCGAUUUCUCAGUCUCGUCUACUCUAUCCUAUGGGUUCACGAUGAAGAUGAUAAUCUUUGAAUCAUAAACUGACCCUCCGAUCUAGAAAUACUUCAUAUCUGAGUGUUGAAUCCAUAGUGAAAGCACGGGUUUCGAGUCUUCGACGGGUUUAUGUCAUAUUCGCUAAACCCAGUUAACACUGUACUUCGCCGGAGUCCGUCAAUAGACAGAGAUCGAAGCUUGGUGCGAUUUACAGUUAGGAUGAAGUUUUUGCUGAGAAAUUUGUGCGAAUAUACACGGUUGCUUUCAGAACAUCUCUACAAUUUCUACCAAAUUGGGUAGCAAGGACUUGAACUCGGUGAUUGAGACGUGCAAACUCUUCAAUUGUUUACUCACAUGUUAAACAAAAUCAGUAAUAGUCUAUGAAUUUGGUCAUGAAUACAAAUUUUGCUUCAGUUUAUAAUGGCAUCUCAAUAAUUUGAAGGUCAAAAAGAACAAUGGACCAUGAUCUAAUUGGUUAGCAAGUACAACCUAUGAUGGUUAAAAAGAAUGUGAAAAGAGCUAUUGAAAUUAGUUCCUGAUAAAAGAUAAGUUUUAAGUCUCUAAUCAGCUCUCAUCUCUACUUCAAUAGACAUAAGUUGGCUCCAGAAUACUAUUCUUGCAUUGUUUCUAAUGGAGUCUGUAUAACAUGCAGGUUAGCAAGCGCCAGGAAUAAUUAUAUGAUUGCUGAGCUGAACUAAAAUUGUACUAGUCUUUUUAAUUUCCUAGACAUUGGUAUAGAGACCAUGGAAGGUAGCAGAUUCUGUAUUUGUGCUUGAGGAUGGUUCAAACUGGAAGCCAAAAUGCUUUGGUGAUCCUGGGACCCCAACUGGAGAAGUGGUUUUCAAUUAGUCAUUGACAGGGCUAUGUGUCAACUGAUUGAACAAAAUGGAGAAUGAGCUACAUCACAAACAUAAUAUUACAUUCAAGCUAGAAAAGGGAAAGCAUUGAGAUAGUUCUGGAAUUGUUCUUUGCGAACAGCAAUUCGAAAGAGAAGAUUCAAUCCAAUUAGAGUUUCAAGCUCCUUAGGCACACCCUUUCGACCAUGCAGCAAGAAUUGUAUUCAUUGAUGACCCAGAGUGGUAUUAUGCUUCGUGUCGAACCAAGGGUUGCAACAGAAAGUUGAAACUGAAAGGAAAGUGAUUGUGGUGUAAUACAUGUGAUAGGAAUUGGGGUGAUGGCCUUGAGAUGGUUACAGAGUAUCAUCAGAACCAACAUACACUAUGAACUUAUACAGAGUUAGAGGAUUUCUAUUUAGCUGUUGAGAUAAGCACCUACCUGUACACUGCAAUUUAUGUGUCUAUUAGCUCUCAAAUAGUUCAUCAGCACUGUUAUGUUAUGUGAUAAAUUUUUUUAGAAAUUAUAAUGCCUAAUUAUUAAAUGCAGAUUAGCAAGGUCAGAAGUUGGCAUGAGUAUAGCUUCUGCUUAUCUCUCAGAAGAUGUACUACUAAUAUUCAUGUAAGGAAUUUGAUAUGCUCGUAAGACGCGUAGCCUAAGAGCAUGUCUUGUAUUCAUGGGAGAAAUUUGGCUCACAAGAGUAAACAUCUUGAAGUAUGGCAGAAUUGAGAGAGGAUGUUGUAUACAGAUUGCGGAUGUAUUUAGUAGGUUGAAUUGUGUUCAGUAGCUUUGUGCUGUAUAUAUAGAAGUUUACUAAGGUCUGAUGACCUUUCGUUAUAUCUGCCUUCGAAAUAAAUACCUUGAAAAUAGGUAUCGGUGAGUGA